rnacentral:rRNA from 1 species
UGUACAGGAUAGGUAGGAGCCUUGGAAACCGGAGCGCCAGCUUCGGUGGAGGCAUCGGUGGGAUACUACCCUGGCUGUAUUGACCUUCUAACCCGCUGCCCUUAUCGGGCAGGGAGACAGUGUCAGGCGGGCAGUUUGACUGGGGCGGUCGCCUCCUAAAAGGUAACGGAGGCGCCCAAAGGUUCCCUCAGAAUGGUUGGAAAUCAUUCGCAGAGUGUAAAGGCACAAGGGAGCUUGACUGCGAGACCUACAAGU